rnacentral:rRNA from 1 species
GGACCAUCAUGUCGGUCGUGCCUCGGUACGUACUGGUAUUGUUGGUUUCUCCCUUCUGACGAACCAUGAUGUCAUUUAUUUGGUGUUGUGGGAAAUCAGGACUGUUACUUUGAAAAAAUUAGAGUGUUUAAAGCAGGCUCACGCUUGAAUACAUUAGCAUGGAAUAAUGAAAUAGGACGUUUGAUUCUAUUUGUUGGUUUAAUGAAUCACCGUA